rnacentral:lncRNA from 1 species
AAGGAAAGGACGGCAUCAUGACAAUUUUGAGAUUAAGCUACGACCACUUACCCACAAACUUACAACUCUGCUUUAGAUAUUGUAGUAUAUUUCCACAAGAUUAUAUCUUUAAGAGGAAAGAGUUGGUCUAUAUGUGGAUGGGUUCAGGUCUAAUUCCGCAGUCUAUUUGUGGAAGACGAAGGCGGGAGGACAUUGGAAGGGAGUAUUUAAAUCUUCUGACAAGAAAAUCAUUCUUUACUUGCAAAACCAGUGAUUAUAGGUUUAAAAUUUCUAAACAUUAUUUUAUGCACAAUCUGCUACAUGUCCUUGCACAAUCUGUUUCUCUAGGGGAAUGCAUCAGAAUAGGAGGUGAUGUUGCAGGAUAUAUUAUUCCAAAAACGGUUCGACAUUUAUUUUUUGAAAACAUAAAUCUUCUUUCUAUCAGAGAGAUCUCCAAUCUUAAGAACUUGCGUACUCUUGUCAUAUCUGUUAAAGAGAAUCAUGGGCAUAAUGCAAAUCAUUUACUUGUGUUUAAUGAGGUUGUGGAAGGAUUUAAAAAGUUAUACUUAUUGAGCUUAGAUGUGAAUUUUGACACUUAUAAACUGCCCUAUGCACUUAAUAGCUUGAUACACCUCCGCUACCUAUCUCUUUCGGAAAGAGUGGUAAUAGAUGAAAGUUUCAUGGGCUUCAUUCGUUCAUCUCUUUGUAGGCUUUAUCACCUACAAUUCCUGAAGUUCUUUACUCAUGGAACGACUACUGAUAUUAUUGAAUACCCCGGUUUGACUAGCUUGGUUAACUUGCAUUUAUUAGAUGUUCCUUCUGAUGUGAUAAAAAAUAUUCCUUAUGUUAGCAAAGUACCCUUCAUUUGCAAAUUAAAAGAUUUUUUUGUCCAAGAGAAGAGUGGUUACAAAAUCGGCGAACUAAAGAACCUGAGAGACCUUCGUCAUUUGUGCAUUAGAGAACUUGAAAAUGUGAGGAGUUCUGAAGAAGCUAGGGAGGCCAAGUUGAACAAGAAAGAAUAUCUCAAAUCAUUGUCAUUGCAAUGGUCUAGAGACUGCUCUAGUGGUGCAGAGGCCGAUGAGCAGCUCCUUGAUAACCUCUACCCGCAUAUCAAUCUAAAGAGAUUGUGUAUUAAAGAAUACAAAGGUGUUAAAUCGCCGUGUUGGAUGACAGAUACGUCUCUCAUGAACUUGACAUUUAUCGAACUGAUUAAUUGUAAAGGAUGGGAUCAUCUCCCGCCUCUUGGGCACCUAUCUUCCCUCAAUUGUCUUUACCUGUGUGGACUGCAUGCAGUAAAGCAAAUAGGUUGUUCAUUCUACGGGAGAAGCGGUGUAUGUGCCUUUCCAUCAUUAAAGCAGCUAUUCUUACUGGACAUGCCAAACUUGGAGGAGUGGAUUGGAAUAGAUGAUGAGUGCAUGUUUCCUCAACUCCAUUCUUUGGAAAUCCGUCAAUGCCCUAGCUUGAGGGGCGUGCCUGCUCUGCCUCUUGGUCUAAAUAAAUUGCAUAUUUCUGAUGUCGGAUUGACUGCUCUUCCAGUGAUAAAUCAAGAUUGCGGAAACAACAAUGUAAGUGCUCUGUUUUAUAAACUUUAAAUUACCUCACUGAAGUUAAGCUUGUUUUCACUUUGGCCUCCUGUAGUUCAAAAAGUUUCACUUUGCCCCCCCUGUGAUUUAGCUUAUUUUCACUUUGCUAUUCCAUUGUUCAAAAAGCUGCACUUUGCCCUCCUAUAAUUUAGCACAUUUCUCACUUUGCCAUCCUAUGGUUUUUUGAUCAUUUUUAAUUUGCUACACUAUUUCAUACAGAGUUUUUAGCGAAAUAAAAAUUUAACCACAUGAGUGCAAAGUGAAACUUUUAAAACCAUAGGAUGGCAAGGUGAAAAUUAAUGAGGUAAACUACACAAGGGUAAUUUGAAGUUUACCUUUAGAUUAAAACACUAGUUCAUAUUUGUCUAGCUGUGAUUGCCCAGACUUAAUAUCUUUCACAUAUUUUCAGCAAGAACAUUUUCAAGCUCUUGAAAGCUUAAUUAUAGAACAAUGUGAGAAGCUCGAAUAUGUUCCACCAGAGUUUUUUGGAAAGUUCAAAGCCAUAAAAUUCCUGCGUAUAGAAAAUUGUCCAAAGUUGACAAAAUGUGGGAUCUCAGACAUCCAACUGCCGUCCGUACUCAUUAUGCUCACUAUUGGGUCAUGCGGCAACCUUGAGGCGCCAUUGCUGUGGUCAGCAGAUUUAAGCUCUCUUACAUGGUUGGAAUUACUCGAUUGUGCAAGCAUAGCAUCCCUUCCCCCAGCACAAGUGUGUGCACAGUGGACAUUGCUUACACAUUUAAAAAUAAAGAACUGCAAAGAAUUGUCAUCAUUUGGUGGAUUACAAGCCCUUAUAUCCCUCUGGCAUUUAGAAAUUGAAGGGUGUGACAAGCUAACUGAAGUUGCCCUGCUGCAGCCUCCAUUUCCAAACAAUGUCGGCCAAAAGAAUGAAGUGGACUGCCUUUUGAAGCUUGGUUAUCUAUCAGUUGACCACCACGCGCUCCUGCUCAUGGAGCCACUGAGAAGUCUCUCCUCCAUUAGCUGGUUGAUUAUCUCUGAUGCUUCGCAGCUCAUCACCUUACCAGAGGAAUGGCUACUGCAAAAUCACGCUGCCCUCAAAUUUUUGAGCAUAACGAAUGCAGCCUCCCUUCAGUCCCUACCCCAGAGCAUGACAGAACUAUGCUGCCUAGCGAGUUUCGGUGUAACUAAUGCUAAUCUCAUCCAGUCACUUCCAGAUCUCCCUAAUUCACUACGCACUCUCUGCAUCACCGGGUGUCACCCUGUGUUGAAGGAGCGAUGCGAAGAGAAUAUAGGCCUUGAUUGGCCCAAGAUAGCCAACAUCCCUAAUGUGAGGAUUUAUUAGCAUUUGCAGAGGUAGAGGUGAUGAUGAUGCAUAUUGUACGUCCGCUUUACCACCCUUCAUCUCUCCCACGCUACCCUCUGUAAUUAACACAAUUCACUUUGGUCGUAAUGAGCUACAUCUCAUUCGAUCUUAACGAGGUUAUUUCAUUUGUUUCACUAUUAUUUUAGCUUGUUUUGGGUAAUGCAAGAACAGUCUGGUUCGUUUUUAAUUAGUAUCCUCAAAAGAAUUUGUACUCUUAACUUUAUGAUUUGGAUACAUAGUAAGGGAAUAAAGCGCUACUUGCCCCCUAUAAUAAAUACAUUGUGUUGUGCUCGCAGGACGGAUUGGUCUUUGUAAAACAAACAAUGAUUUGGAUACAAUUAAAGAGAGAGAGAGAGAGAGAGAGAGAGUAACCCUAAACAAGUCUCCAGAAUUAAGUUCUCUACUAAUAUUUUAUGAUUUUUUUUCUUCCUCCCUUUACUUUACCUGAAUUGACUUCGCCUCAUAGGAAAGCAAAAUUAAUUUCAGUAUUUUGGAAAAACUAUACUUUCGAUCUUACUAAUAUUAUGGUGAACCAAACAGCAGAAAUGAUUAAUUUUCAUCGAAAAUUACUUGCUCUCUUCCCAUUUAUGGUGAAACAAUCAGACCCUUACAGCAGUCAGUAUUAUAUAGGUUUGUUUGUAUCAAAGCUUCGAGACAGGUGUACUAACAAGAAAGAUGUUAGAUACGAUAACUAAGGAGAAUUUUGGCGACAAGAGUUUCAACGUAGUUAGUUAAUUUGGAUUCAGCAAACAUUCAGUACGAAUGCAAUACGAAUAAAAUUCAUAUAUUGAUUUUUAAAUUCGUUCAAAAAUAGGGCUUAAAAAAGGGUUCCGAUUUAAAUUAUUCAGGUUAAAAUGUCAGCUAUUAAAUUAAAAAAAUUUUUCCUAGAUUUAUGCUACCAGCGUAAAUAGCUAUAAUUCUUAAGAAUAUAAAAUAGAGAGGUACAAAAUAAAGUAGAUUAAAUAAAAAAAGCAAUAGAAAAGUUCAUUGUCAUCUUCAUCUCCAUCUUUUUUAUGAUCCACAUAUUCUGAAAGUUCAUGAAGUUUUUCAAUAAUACGCAAAUAAUUUGCAAAUAAUUUGCAAAUUAACUAACUAUGGUGAAGAUAGGGAUUUUAUCAAAAAAAUUUGCGUAUUUCUUUGGCCGAAUAGUUCAAUAGACGUGAAUUAUUUGCGAAUAAUAAAUCUAACCAAAAAAUUCAUAUUUUAUUCUGAUUUUUUGAAAAAAUAUUGUAUACGAAUCGAUUUAUUCGAAUUUUCAAUAAUUUGCAAAUAAUUCUCGAAUUAACUAACUAUAAGUUUGAACGCACUGCAUACGAUCCUGAAAGGGCAAACUAAUUGCUCUUAUAAAGUUUUGACGAAGUAGAAAAGUGAAAGAGAAGAGUCUUUACAUCUAACCGGUUUGGAAGAGCAAGCUUUUUUUUUUUUUUAAGAAAGGUAGCAUGUUAACUAUUUCGCUUAUUUUAUUUUUUAGAAAUAAAUUUAGCUGAAAAUGAGAAGCAAUUAGGCUUCGAUCCUGAACCUCGGGUAUCAAUCACCAAGUCUUUGGUCACUUGCGCGAGGGAUGGUCGGAUUUGGAAGAGCAUGACUAUAUAUAUAUACUAGCAACUAACCCGUGCAAUGCACGAAUUUUAAUUUUAUCUUUUAAUUACAUCUUUUAUAUAAUAUAUAAUAUUAAUUUUUACAUAUUAAGUUUUUUUAAUAUCUUUUUAUGACAACUUUUAUAUAAUAUAUAUUAAUUUUUUACAUAUUAAGCUUUUAUUAGAAAUAUUAUUGAAUCAAAUUAAAAUAAUACUAUCAUGAUAUACUAAUAGAAUGUAAGUAAAUAAUUUAAAAUAAAAAGAUUUUAAAAUGAAGAAGUAAAAAGGUUCAAAUCCAUUAGAAAUUUAACAUAAUUAUUAUUUAUAUAUAAUUAAUCUUAUUUCAAAUUCUUUAUGACUAAUUUUGUAAACUUAUUUUUUGAAGAAUUUUAAGUGACUAAAUUUGGAAAGUAAUUUUUUAGAACUUGUGAAGCAUGAUUCAUAUUAUGAUUCCUUUAAACUAAAAAGUUCUUGUUAUUGUGAAUAAUUAGUCAUGUAUGUUUAUCAAUUAUUUUCAACAAAUCAAUCAAAAAUUUAAAUAUAAAUAUCAAACAUACCUCCCAAAAGUAAUUAUUGAGUAUUUCUUGGGAUAGGGGCAAAUAUUUAUGCGCUCUGAAAAUUUCAAUACUAUGAUGAAGUCCAAAGCUAGUGGUAUGUAUCCUGAAAAAAAAGAGAAGAUAAUAUAUACAUUACAAACCGACCAAAUCAUUACACGUAAUUAUUUUCAAAUUUUUAAAAUAAACUUGCCUUUUAUAGAAAGAUGGUGCAUAAAGGUGGAAAAUAAGUCUGCCUCCAUCUAUCAUACAUAUGGAUGAUAACAUUAAUAAAAUAAUGGCAUUCAUUUGUAAUACCUACAUAUGGAUGAUAAAAUUUGUAACGUUUUAGAUAUUCACUGUGAAAGAUGAAUAUGCCUCACAAUCAAAGAAAAAAGGGGAAAAAAAAAUAACUGAUGUGCGGUUAAGAAAAAAAAAUAACUGUUGUGUGGUUUAGGAAAAAAAUAACUGUUGUACGGUUAAGAAAAAAAAGUAACUGUUGUGCAGUUUAGAAAAAAAAAUAACCGUCGUACGGUUAAGGAAAAAAAAACUGCUGUGCAGUUAUUUUUUGGUAUAUGUAGUUAUGCUCUCUUAUCAUAUAUAUAUAUCUAAUAUAUAUAUAUAUAUAUAUAUAUAUAUAUAUAUAUAUAUAUAUAUAUAUAUAUAUAUAUAUAUAUAUAUAUUUUAUCAUUAUGAACCAUAAGAUGCCACGUGACGCACUUACAUGAAAAGUUCUAAUGUGCCACGUGCGCACUUAUCAUAAUAUAUAUUUUUUAACUUAUCAUAAUAUAUUUUUUAGUUCCAAUAUAUUUAUAUAUAUAUAUAUAUAUAUAUAAUAUAUAUAUAUAUUAUAUAUAUAUAAUUAUCAUUAUAUAUAUUUUAUAUAUUAUCAUUAUCAUUAAGUAAUUAUAAUAAUGCAUUUACUAUCAUACAUAAGGUGAAAAAUAGUCUGCCUUCAUCUAUCAUACAUAUGGAUGAUAACUUAAUAAAAUAAUGCAUUCACUUGUAAUACAUACAUCAUGAAUGAUAAAAUUUGUAACGUUUUAGAUAUUAACUGUGAAGAUGAAUAUGCUCACAAUUCAAAGAAAAAGGGAAAAAAAAAUAACUGUUGUGGGUAAGAAAAAAAAAAAACUGUGCGUGGUUUAGGAAAAAAUAACUUUGUGCGGCUUAAGAAAAAAAAUAACCGUUGUGCGCAUUUAGAAAAAAAAUAUAACUGUCGUGACGGUUAAGGAAAAAAAACUACUGUGCAGUUAUUUUUUGGGUACGUGUAGUUAUGCUCUCUUAUAAUUACUUAAUGAUAAUGAUAAUAUAUAAAAUAUAUACAAUGAUAUAUAAUAUAUAUAUACUAUAUAUAUAUAUAUAUAUAUAGAGUGAGGCUACUAUGCUAUCGGAAGCCACGGAGCCUUCGUGCUUCCAGCUUGUUUUCGAUGUUGCGACUUUCGAAUCGUCGAUCGGCUCCUUAAACUUAUCUUAGAUAUUUGAAGAACUAGAAAAUUAAUUAUUAUUUUUCGAUAUCAUUUGCCUAGUGAUCGAAUAGGCUCAAAAUCAACAAAUUUCAAUGGCCGUAGUAGUGAGCGUUUGCAAGUUUAACGGUGUAGAAAUACCCAAAUCACGUGAAAUUUUGAUAAAAAUUCUUUAUACUAUAUAAAACAAGAUCAAUAUCUUGAUUUAAAUUUUAUGCAUAUUAUUACAUUUUGUAAGAUUUUUAUUUUCAGCCGUUGAUUUUGAGCCCCUUCGUUCACUAGGCAAAUGAUAUCGUAAAAUCAUAAAAUUUAUUUUCUAGGUACUUCAAAUACUCUAGAUCAAGUUUAACGAAGCCGAUCGACGAUUCGAAAGUCGCAACAUCGAAAACAAGCUGGAAGCACGGAAGGCUCCGUACUUCCGAUAGCAUAGUAGCCUCACUAUAUAUAUAUAUAUAUAUUUGUGAACUAAAAAAUAUAUUAUGAUAAGUUAAAAAAAUAUAUAUUAUGAUAAAUACGCCAUGUGGCAUCUUAUGGUUCAAUUGGAACCAUGCUUCCAAAAUUAUAUAUAUAUAUAUAUGAUGCUACUUUUUUAGUAAGAAACUAAGAAUGCAUAUUUUUGGUAUGAACCCAAAUUACUAUAAAAAUCUAUACGAAAGCUGUUGAAAAUUUUUGGUUGAAAGCAGCAGAGCAUGCAUAUAUUCAGAUAUUUUUGGCACAAAAAUAACAAAAUAUAUAAAAAUAGCCAAAAAAAAAUUAAAAUAACUUGAUAAAAACUAUCAAUGAGUCUACUAGGAAGAUUCAUUUUCUAUUUUUGCUAUUAUUUAGUCGGUGUCUUUUAACAAAGUUAUUAGAUUUUGUCUAAAAUAAUAGAUUUGUUAAUAAAAAAUAUAGAGAUUGGUGAAGAACAAAAAAAUGUAGCGAUAUUUAUGGGCGAAGAAAUUGCACACGGUAGAAAAACAAAAAUAAAUGUAAAAUAUAGUGUAGAGAUUGAUAGAAUAUAAUAAGAGUAUGAGUUGUAUACUUUCGAGGGUAUAGAGGCAGCUGUGAUUUAAAGUUGUUUUUUAUUAUAAGAUAUCUAAUACGACAAUCGGUUCAGUUAGUCAUAAUAUACACAAUUGAAUCAAUCUAAAAAGAAAUUGGAAAAACUUCAAAUAUAUACCACCCUUUUGGUUUCACACUUUCUCACUUUAGUACCUUGUGGUUUAAAAUGUAUUAAUUUAGUACCCUGUGGUUUCAUUUUUAUAAUUUUAUUAUCGAUUUCACUAAUUUUUUCGUUAAAUCAGUGACAAAGUUAAAACUAAAAGGUACUAAAGUGAGUAUUUAAUAAAACUUAAAUGGGGCAUCUGAAGUUUUCUGUACAUACUUUAACGAAAUAUUAACGAAAAAGCUGACGAAAAGAUAUAAAUGAAACCACAGGACACUAACUAGCUUGAUACACUUUAAACCGCAUGAUACUAAAGUGAGAAAGUGCGAAACCACGGGGGUAGUAUUUGAAGUUUAUCCAAAAAAAUUUAUAAACUUUCAACAUCAUUUCCAAAGUGAUCAGUAGGUCUCAAAGAUGAUUUUAAUGGCUGGUGUGGCACAUUUAUGCGUGCGUGUAGAACAAUCCAGAUUAGAUAAUAUUUUAAUAAAAAAUUCUAUUUUUCAUUAAAAGCAAGAUCAAUAGUUCCAAUUCAAACUUAAUAAGUCUUCUAUUAUUAUUUUUUGUGAGAUUUUUAUUUUCUACCGUUCGUUUCUAGACUGCUUAUUUGUAAGACAAAUAAAGUCAAAAACUGAUAAAAUUUGUUUUCCGAUAGUUAUAAUAUGUAAAUGAUUUUUAACAGAAUUAAUCGCUAAAUCAAAUAUCUCAUUAUAAAAAACAACUUGAAAUAAUGGGAGGCCUUUGUACUUUCAAAAAUAUAUACUAGCCUAGUUCAAUAUAAUAAUACUCUUUGAAAAAAAUUAUUAUAAUAUAAUAAAUAAAAAUAAUACUAAAAUAUAAUACAGUAGAGUGUAAUUAAGCCUGACCUUUAUUACAUGCAAAAGAAUCUGCUUUAUUAAGUGGUGAUCUUUGUCACUUCUUUUCUGCAUGCUCAUAAAGCAAUCCCACUACUAUUUUUUAUUCUUUUUUCUCUGUUUUUUGUUUGGAUAUGAAGGUUUCCAACUGAUUGAUCAAUUGCUUGACUAGUGCUAUGGAAUGAAAUAAGAUAAAAUGAAAAAAAAAAAUAUUGAGAAAAAUUAUUUAGAAUCUCUCAUUGUGCUUUUCCCUACUUCUAGUUUUUUAAAGUGUUUAGCUUUUGUUCUUAACUUAUAAAGAAAGUAAUUAAUUGGAAAAACUUCAAAUACCCCUCGUGGUUUCGCACUUUCUCACUUUAAUAUCUUAUAGUUUAAAGUGUAUCAAGUUAGUACCCUACAGUUUUCCACUUUCUCACUUUAGUAUCUUGUGGUUUAAAAUGUAUUAAGUUAAUUAGUACCCUGUGGUUUCGCACUUUCUCACUUUAGUACCAUGUGGUUUAAUAUUUCAUUAAAUUAUAUACAAAAAAAACUUCAGAUAUCCUACCUAGGUUUAUCGAAUAUUCAUUAUAGUACUCUUUAGUUUUAACUUUGUCACUGAUUUAACGAAAAAAAUACUCCGAAAUGAAUAUUAAAAAGAGAAAUAUAAAAUCACAGAGUACUAACUCGAUACAAAAAUAAAAUCACAGAGUACUAACUUGAUACAUUUUACACCAUAUGGUACUAAAAUGAAAAAGUGCGAAACCACAGGGUACCAACUUAAUACAUUUUAAACCACAGGGUACGUACUAAAGUGAUAAAUUGCGAAAUCACCCGGGGNNNNNNNNNNNNNNNNNNNNNGGGGCGGGCGCGGUUUGUAUUUGAAGUUUUCCCUAAUUAAUUUUCAGGACAGGUUCGGAUCCGGAUACUUUAGUUGCUAAUAUACUAAUCUGAUCCAUGUGAGCAUAGUAGGAUAGUGACUAUGAGACUAUCAGUAUAUUACCCUCUUAAGAUCGGGUAUGGGUCGGGUAUGGGUCAGGCUUAGGUCAGGGACGAGUAUUCGUAUGCAUAUCCAUAGUAUAAAACAUAAAUAGUUGUUACACGAUAAGUUCAAAACAAAAGUACAAAAUCUAUAAUAAUUAUAUUUAUAUUAAUUACUCUAAAACAAGUAUAACCACCACCCAAAACACAUUCAAUAACAUAAGAGUUAAAACUUAUAUUGAUAACUCCAAACACACAUAAUAUAAUUAUAUAAAGCACAUACAACUAACCAUAUAGCAUACAUCAUAAGUCCAAAACGCAUGCACCUACUAUAAUAUAAUUAAAAUACAUACAUAAUAAAUUUGAAAUAUUAUGAUAAUUAAAAAUAACAAUAUCAUUUUUCAAUUUUCAUAAAUUUUCUUAUUUUUUACUCCUUGCUUUAACUUUUGACAUUGGAUAUUUUACUGAGUUAAUUAGAUUCGUGCCCACGACCGAAUUUGAAAAUUAUUCAGAACUCUACCCACCAAAAAAUCAGGUCCGGAUAGGGCUUGAGUCGGAUUUGGAUACAAAAAUCUGGACCCAUAUCUGAAAUAUUAAUGGGUCAUCCUUAAUUUCUACUCAUAUACUACCUAUUUUUAAUCGGAUCUAGGUCGGGUGGGAUAUAGGAAAUCGAUUAUUUUGAACAUCUCUAUAUUGUUGAGAGAAAAGAAGAAGUUUUAAUGAUAUUCAUAAGAAAAAAAAAAUAGUACAACAUAGAAAAACAAAAAUAAAUAUAAAAAUAUAAUAUAAAAAUCGAUAAAAUAUAAUAAUAUUUUUUUAAAAAAAUUAUUACAACAUAACAAAUGAAAAUAGUCUUACUCGUGUUACAUGAAAAAAAUAGUGCAAAAUAGAAAAACAAAAAUAAAUAUAAAAUUAUAAUAUAGAAAUUAAUAAAAUAUAAUAAUAUUUUUUUUCAUUUGAAAAAAAAUAUUACAACAUAACAAGUGAAAAUAACAUCAAAAUAUAGUAUCAUACAAUGUAAUUAAGUCUUACUCGUGUUACACGUACGCAAAAUUAAGAAUCUCCUUUUUUAAUUAAGUGGUGAUCUUUGUCGCUUCUUCUUUUGGAACCGUCUAAAUCAAUCCCACUACUUUCCUUUUUUUUUAAUUCUUUUUUCUCUGUUUUUUGUUUGGAUAUUAAGGUUUUUUCAUUCUUUUUUCUCUGUUUUUUGUUUGUAUGAUUGAAAAAAUAUUUCAGAAAAUAAAUUUUGAGCUGAAAAAAUAAUUUUCGUCUUGUUUAGUUUCUAAAAAAGUAAUAAUAAUUUUCAAAAAAAUUUCAAAAUUUAUCUGAAAAUUGUAUUCUCGUUUUUCAAAUUAUUUAUUUGUUAUUAUAGUUUCUCACCUUUCUUUUCUUGUGGAAUCAAAAUAAAGCGGCCAUAAUCUACUGCAUGCUUUGCCGUGCAGAAGUCUCAAGAUUCUGUUAGAUCAGGUUCCUCCAUGUUGGCUGACAGCUUUCGAGAACUUAUUCCUCGUCUCAAUCUUUCUUCGUUGCGAAGCUGAACGUCUCUUGCCUCAUUCUCCAAUUUCUGCACUAGCUCCAGGAGUUUGAUCAAUUGCCUGAGUGGUGGUGAAGCCGAUCAUGGCUCUAACUUUCAUAGCCGGAGCGGUGGCGACGGCGAUCAUCCAGAAGCUCGUUGAUACAUGCUUUUCCUACAUCAAAGCUUACCCGGGGCUGCGAGGCAUGCGGGACGAGUUGGAAAGGCUGCAACUGGCCCUUCCGCAGAUCCAGACAGUCUUGACUGCCGUAGAGGAGGCUGCGUCGAUUGCAGAGCAGAACACGGCGCUGGAUACGUGGCUGUCGCAGCUCAGAGAUGCUGUGGAGAACGCGGAGGACGUGCUCGACGAGCUGGACUACUACGAGCUGAAGAAGACUAUAAAAGAUCGAGAUGACGAGGUGCGUGGCAUUCUCUCUAAAUGUAAGAAAAAGUUUGACCGUGUUGUUAAUCGUAAAUUUAGCUAUGACACACCGAAGCGGUUGAGGGAGGCCGUCAAGGGGUUAGAUAUGGUUGUUGCCGGUAUGGGACCACUAGUUCAACUUGUUGCUGGGUUAUAUGGUCCUAGUGUUAAGCAUCAGAAGCUCGAGGAAAACAAGAAUGCUCGCGAGACUAGCUUCUUGCUAACCGAAAGUGAGGUGCUCGGACGAGACGAGGAGAGGGACCAAAUAGUUGAAUGGCUGAUCAAACCAGGAGAUGCCGAUGUCAAUGUCUCCACUUUUACAAUUGUUGGUAUGGGCGGGCUCGGGAAGACCACUCUUGCUCAACUAAUCUGUCAUGAUGAAAGAGUGCGAGAGUACUUCAAACCGAUUAUGUGGGUUUGUGUUUCUCAGGAUUUCGAUGUAACUGCGAUAACAAGAAAGAUUUUACAAUGUGUAGAUAGUGAAAAGAAUUUUGGCGACAAGAGUCUACAAGCACUCCAUGUGGAUCUUACACAAGAACUAAAGUCGAAGAGGUUUUUCCUCAUACUGGAUGAUGUUUGGACCGAUGAUAACAUGACGGAGUGGGAGACAUUAGUUGCUCCUUUGAAAUUUGGACAGAGAGGAAGCAAGAUCCUGUUGACAACUCGAAUGGGUUCAAUUGCGGAUAUGGCGGCAAAAGUGACGAAAUGCAAACGGGAAUCAUUAAAUCUAAAUGAGUUGAAGGAGAGUGACUGUAUAUCGCUUUUCAAUAAGCAUGCAUUCCUCGAUGUGAACCUUGGUGAUUAUAGAAACCUGCAGCUGAUCGGUGAGCAGAUAGUGAAGAAACUUGGAGGAAGCCCAUUGGCAAUAAAGAUCAUGGGAGGAAUACUAAACUACUCCAUGAACUAUGAAUAUUGGAAGAACAUCUUGGAAGAAGACAUCAUGAAAUUACAACAAGGAAAGAACGGCAUCAAGACAGUUUUAAGAUUAAGCUACGAUCACUUACCCACAAACUUACAACUCUGCUUUAGAUAUUGCAGUUUAUUUCCACAGGAUUAUACGUUUAAGAGGAAAAAGUUGGUCAAUAUGUGGAUUGGUUCAGGUCUGAUUCCGCAAUCUAUUUGUGGCAAGCAAAGGCCAGAGGAUAUCGGAAAUGAGUAUUUAAAUCUUCUGACAAGAAAAU